CACUCUCUCUCUAUUUCACCCCAUUUCCUCUCUUUCCCUUCUACGAUGCUGACUCCAAAUGCCACCCGCCUCUAUGCCUUUCGUCUUCGUCCUCCCUCCCCUUCCCCUUCCCAAGAACCCUCCGAGCCCUCCCCACCACCAUCAUUUGAGAACCCUUCACCUCCAAACCCAAUCACCGAGCAUCCACUUCCUCCCCUUGUCGAAACCCCUCCUCUACCUCCCAACCUACCUCGCGCAUCCACUUCGCCUCCAGCCCCCCAUCCCAUGACCCCUCUUUGUCUCCUCCCACACUCCCUCGUGAACCCACUCGCGACCUUUCCCCCACUCACGAACCCUCUCCUCCUCUACCAUCGCCUCCCAGCCGUGGGGUUGCCUCAAGAACUUGCACCAAAUGCCUGGCUACCCUUGCCCAUAUCUCCUCUUCUCCUUCGUUGAAUGUCAAGGCAGUGGCCUGAAAAUGUAAGUCGACCCCUGUUUUCAUCUAUGAGUCCGAGCCAACUCCAGAAUAGCCUCCACUGACUCGUCCUGCCAAUAAUCCUAAGGCAAUGCCCCCACCUGCACCCACCACCUCUUGGUUUGCCAAGAGCAAUGCCCCUUCCUCAUCUUCAUCUCGAGGUACUCUGUUUCUUAAUAGCUCUUGUAAGGAUAGAUUUACUGCUUGUAUUUCCUUGCGAAAAUUAUUACUUGGGAGGUCACUAGAUUAUAAGGAAUUUGGUCAUUUGGACAUGUAUGAAUUAAUUGCUUUUCAUGGUUGGAAAGAAUCUGUCAUUGCUCUCUGUGUUCCUUAUCAGUCCUUGGUGCAUGGAUUUUAUUCCAAUUUGUCCAUUGAUGUGGUUGACCCUACUCAUGAGAAUUUUGGGAAGGUUUAUUUGCGUGGAAAUUGGAUUCCUUUUACUCCAGAGAUUAUUGCAGAGUGUUUCCAUAUGCCAUUGAUUGUUGAGCCUGAUUAUUGUGUAGAGUUUAGUCCGGAUAUGGAUGAGGUUGCCUGAACUCUCACUGGUAAAUCCUGAUCGACUUUGCCCACCUCAAAUGCAUUUCUCGCUGCUGACCUCACUUCGAUGUAUCAUAUUCUGCAAGUCAUCGCCAUUUGUACUUGGCAGCCCACAUCUCACAAGUCCAUCGUUCGGACUGACUUGGCUCGUUUCUUAUAUGCAGUGGGUUCCCGCAAGUCUAUUAGUCUUCCUCACUGCUUGUUUCAAGUGAUUUUGGAUGCCGCAUUUUGGCUAGGGGUCUCUUGCAUCUUGCCCCUGCCUUGUUUGAUUCAGAGGUUGGCUCACAUUUUCUCGGUUGUUCCCUCUAAGAGUUUGGACACUUUCAUCAACCUUAAGGCAAUGAAGUUGGCAUUCACUCGGUCCAAAGCUCCUAAGAAGGGUCCUUCUUUCAAAGACCCUAUGGCUACAUCUACUUUGGGAGUCAAACAAUCAUCCUGGAAGUAUCAGUUGUUUGAAUGGGUCAUACCCUUAGUGAUGACUUUCACUCGUUUCGGUCUAAGUUUCUAUUAGCUCAUGCUCAGAAUCAAGCGUUUCAAGCUGUUGUCCUUCACCAUCUUGGUCUACCUUCUAUCUUUGUGUCGUCCACUGCUGCUGAUGACUCUUUUGAGGAAGCGCCACCACCUCAGGGGGAGCUUGUACCUCCCCCCCCCCGCCCCAAUGCUGCUGAGUCUAUGCCUAUAGUCCCUCAUGCACGAGCCAUCUGCCACUGCCAUGGGUUCUUUUUUUGUUGCCCAUUCAUCAUUUUCAACAACUCAUGGGGAGUUCAUUGUGCCUCUAGGCACCUAGAAGUGCUACAAGAAGAAGAAGACUUCUUCCACCAAGUAAGGUCUGAAGCAUUCAUUGCUUCAUUGUUCAUUGGCCCAUGGCAUUUUGGUGAAACUUCACCAUUAAUUUCAUGUUUUCUGGUUUAAAGCUUGAAGGGAGUUCAAGCUAAAUCUCAAGGGGAACUUGAGCUGUAGCUGAAGGGAGUCCAACAAACUACAAUACCAGCGGGAGGCUAGUUGUUUGAAGAAGAAUCCAAAAGUUUGCUUUGUAGUCAUCAAGUUCUUAGGUACAAAAUUAAGAUGGAUUUUUAAUUUGUGUUUUUGUAUUUGAACUGAUCGUAAUGAUU